GACGAACGCUGGCGGCGUGCUUAACACAUGCAAGUCGAACGGAAAGGCCCUGCUUUUGUGGGGUGCUCGAGUGGCGAACGGGUGAGUAACACGUGAGUAACCUGCCCUUGACUUUGGUAUAUCUUCAUGAAACUGGGGCUAAUACCGUAUAGGAGCUCCUGCUUCAUUGUUGGGUUUGGAAAGUUUCGUCGGUUGGGGAUGGACUCGCGGGUUAUCAGCUUGUUGGUGGGGUAGUGGCUUACCAAGGCUUUGACGGGUAGCCGACAUGAGAGGGUGACCGGCGAAAUUGGGACUGAGAUACGGCACAGAAUACUACGGGAGGCAGGAGUGGGGAAUAGUGAAAAAUGGGCGGAAGCCGGAAGCAGAAACGCGGCGAGCGGGAAGACGGCCUGCGGGUUGUAAACAGAAUUAGCAUGUGAAGAAGAGUGAGUGACGGUAAUGGGUAAAGAAGCACCGGCUAACUACGUG
rnacentral:rRNA from 1 species